rnacentral:tRNA from 1 species
AGCACCUUGGCGCAGAGGAAGCGUGUGGGGCCCAUAACCCUAAGGUCCCUGGAUCGAAACCAGGAGGUGCUA